UACGUAGGGGGCAAGCGUUGUCCGGAAUUAUUGGGCGUACAGAGCUCGUAGGCGGUCUGUCGCGUCUGCUGUGAAAACUCAGGGCUUAACCCUGAGCUUGCAGUGGGUACGGGCAGACUAGAGUGCGGUAGGGGAGACUGGAAUUCCUGGUGUAGCGGUGAAAUGCGCAGAUAUCAGGAGGAACACCGGUGGCGAAGGCGGGUCUCUGGGCCGUAACUGACGCUGAGGAGCGAAAGCAUGGGGAGCGAACAGG
rnacentral:rRNA from 1 species